rnacentral:tRNA from 1 species
UGGCUCAGUUGAUAAAGAAUCUGCCUGCAGUGCAGGAGACCCAGGUUCGAUUCCUGG